rnacentral:lncRNA from 1 species
AGGAGGACCCGGUUUCCCGAGUCUGGUAACUCUUGAAAUGUUUUUUCGGGGUGCUGGGCCCGGCCGGUCCGACUAUCCCCGAUCUUCGCCAUCCAGCCCCGAUACAAUAGUGUUGGCACAGCCCGUGGUUGGAACUGUCCCCGCCACUUAAUAAUCUCCAUGAUUGGAAAGGGGUGUAAAUUAUGCAAAAAAAAAUUUAAAAUGAAAUUUAAAUAUAAUCAUGUUUAUGAAAUUUACACUUACAAAUAAAACAAAUUUUAAAAAAUUAAAUACAUUGAGGCAAAUAAUCAAUCAGAUGGUCAGAUGGUAAAUUAAUCACUUACUAUCUUAAUAGAUUCGAAUUUAAUUCGGCCUAUGCCUUCAGUUUUUUAGGAUGGUCCAGGCCCAACCUGCUGAACUUCAUUCUUCAGCCUUUCGGUUGACCUCACUAAAUGUUUUGGAUCCUUAAUAAUCUCCAUGAUUGGAAAGGGGCGUAAAAAAAUUUUAGCUAGCCAGUGAUGAGCUCUAAAAAUGACAUCGCUAGAUAAAGUAUAUCCUAUGAAUGAUAUGUCAUUUUAGCUAACCUAGAAGUCCUAUUUGAUGAAAUUAAAAAUAAAAUUUAUAGAGCUACUAUAUUCACCUGGAGACAUUUUCCGUUAUCUUGAAUUAUGCUACCGAAUCAUACUGAGGAAUAUUUGGCGAAAACCACUUAUAAAUCACAUCACGAGCUGGCCAUUGCCCAUGAUAAGAUCAUUGGAAGGUUUCGGAUGAUAUUAAACAAGCCAGAUAGGACCCAUCCUUAUAAAAAUGAUGUUUCGAAUCCGGAAUUGAACCCAUUCAGAAAAAUAAUAAUCGAUUGUAUAACCACGUUUCAAUCCUAUGGACUCAGAGCAUUCAAAUAUGAUCAAAAUAUAUUUUUGUUACAAAUAUUGCCACUUUCUACUCAGGCAGAAUACUGAAUAGCGGGACGAAACAGACCCUGCCAUCAUCCAGAUUAUGAAAGACAGGUCGAAAGCAUUAGCCCGGACUCCAUGAAUAAGUUUUUUCGAGAAUCUUGUUUUUCAGAAACCCAGUGGAAAGCAGAAGCAUUUCCAUAGGGCGAAUACAGCCGAUUGAUAAAAACAUAUAAUAUGGAAACAUGCUAAUAUCAUGAUGUGGUCUAACAGAUGACUGACAAACAUUUGACCAAUAGACAUUUUUUGUGUCAAUAGAUGACGCCACAUUUCCAUUCUAGUAGAACAUUAAAUGACGGGGCGAAACAAGCCCUUUCACAGAUUGCCCACCCCUGCGGAGGAGUCAUCCGGAUUGUGGAAGACGGGAAUCGACGUGCCGGAC